CGCCAGCGACCUCUGGGGGCCUGCGGGCUCCACCGGCCGCGCCUCGCCCUGGUUCUCUCCCUUCAGAAACUGGAUUCUCCUGCCCCGGCCCCGGCCAGCUCUCCGCGAGGCCUGCGAGGUCCUGGAAGAAAAAUCCUCAGUCUGCAACCCCAGUGAUUAUCCCCGGCAGGCCCUCGGAGGCGUCACAGAAACACACC
rnacentral:lncRNA from 1 species